rnacentral:rRNA from 1 species
CUAACACAUGCAAGUCGAACGAGGCCCAUGCAGUGGCAACACUGCGGAAGGCCUAGUGGCGAACGGGUGAGUAACACGUGAGGAACUUGCCCCGGAGACCGGGAUAACUCUCCGAAAGGAGAGCUAAUACCGGAUGUCCUCACCGAAUCGCAUGGUUUGGUGAGGAAAUGGAUUCCGCUCCGGGAGAGCCUCGCGGCCUAUCAGCUAGUUGGUGGGGUAACGGCCCACCAAGGCAUCGACGGGUAGCUGGUCUGAGAGGACGAUCAGCCACACUGGGACUGAGACACGGCCCAGACUCCUACGGGAGGCAGCAGUGGGGAAUCUUGCGCAAUGGGCGAAAGCCUGACGCAGCAACGCCGCGUGCGGGAUGACGGCCUUCGGGUUGUAAACCGCUUUCAGUGGGGACGAACCAAGACGGUACCCACAGAAGAAGCCCCGGCCAACUACGUGCCAGCAGCCGCGGUAACACGUAGGGGGCAAGCGUUGUCCGGAUUUAUUGGGCGUAAAGAGCUCGUAGGUGGUUCGAUAAGUCGGGUGUGAAACCUCCAGGCUCAACCUGGAGACGCCACCCGAUACUGUCGUGACUAGAGUCCAGUAGGGGAGCAUGGAAUUCCUGGUGUAGCGGUGAAAUGCGCAGAUAUCAGGAGGAACACUAGUGGCGAAGGCGGUGCUCUGGGCUGGAACUGACACUGAGGAGCGAAAGCGUG